rnacentral:rRNA from 1 species
AUUGAACGCUGGCGGUAUGCUUAACACAUGCAAGUCGGACGGCAGCAUGAUGUGUAGCAAUACACAUUGAUGGCGAGUGGCGGACGGGUGAGAAACGCGUAGGAAUCUGCCUUAUAGAGGGGGACAACUAGAGGAAACUCUAGCUAAUACCGCAUAAUGUCUAUGGACCAAAGGCUGGGUAGCAAUGCCUGGCGCUAUAAGAGGAGCCUGCGUCCGAUUAGCUAGUUGGUAGGGUAAAGGCCUACCAAGGCGAUGAUCGGUAGCUGGUCUGAGAGGAUGAUCAGCCACACUGGGACUGAGACACGGCCCAGACUCCUACGGGAGGCAGCAGUGGGGAAUAUUGGACAAUGGGGGCAACCCUGAUCCAGCAAUACCGCGUGUGUGAAGAAGGCCUUCGGGUUGUAAAGCACUUUAGGUUGGGAAGAAGGUGUAUUGUUUAAGAGAUGAUACAUUUGACUGUACCGACAGAAUAAGCACCGGCUAACUCUGUGCCAGCAGCCGCCGUAAAAC